GACGAACGCUGGCGGCGUGCCUAAUACAUGCAAGUCGAACGCAGUGGCGGACGGGUGAGUAACACGUGGGUAACUACCUAUUAGAGGGGGAUAACUAUUGGAAACGAUAGCUAAUACCGCAUACUAGUAGAUGGACCUGCGUUGUAUUCGCUAGUAGUUAGGGUAAUGGCCUACCUAGGCAACGAUACAUAGCCGACCUGAGAGGGUGAUAGGCCACACUGGGAAUUGGACACGGCCCAGACGCCGACGGGAGGCAGCAGUAGGGAAUCUUCGGCAAUGGGGGGAACCCUGACCGAGCAACGCCGCGUGAGUGAAGAAGGUGUUCGGAUCGUAAAGCUCUGUUGUUAAGGAAGCGGUACUUAACCAGAAAGGGACGGCUAACUACGUGCCAGCAGCCGCGGUAAUAC
rnacentral:rRNA from 1 species